rnacentral:rRNA from 1 species
UACGUAGGUGGCAAGCGUUGUCCGGAAUUAUUGGGCGUAAAGCGCGCGCAGGCGGUCCUUUAAGUCUGAUGUGAAAGCCCACGGCUCAACCGUGGAGGGUCAUUGGAAACUGGGGGACUUGAGUGCAGAAGAGGAAAGUGGAAUUCCACGUGUAGCGGUGAAAUGCGUAGAGACGUGGAGGAACACCAGUGGCGAAGGCGACUUUCUGGUCUGUAACUGACGCUGAGGCGCGAAAGCGUGGGGAGCAAACAGG